UAGCUAGUUGGUGGGGUAAGGGCCUACCAAGGCGACGAUCGGUAGCUGGUCUGAGAGGAUGACCAGCCACACUGUAACUGAGACACGGUCCAGACUCCUACGGGAGGCAGCAGUGGGGAAUAUUGGACAAUGGGGGCAACCCUGAUCCAGCAAUGCCGCGUGUGUGAAGAAGGCCUGAGGGUUGUAAAGCACUUUCAGUGGGGAGGAGGGUUGAUAGGUUAAGAGCUAAUUAACUGGACGUUACCCACAGAAGAAGCACCGGCUAACUCCGUGCCAGCAGCCGCGGUAAUACGGAGGGUGCGAGCGUCAAUCGGAAUUACUGGGCGUAAAGGGUGCGUAGGUGGUUGAUUAAGUUAUCUGUGAAAUUCCUGGGCUUAACCUGGGACGGUCAGAUAAUACUGGUUGACUCGAGUAUGGGAGAGGGUAGUGGAAUUUCCGGUGUAGCGGUGAAAUGCGUAGAGAUCGGAAGGAACACCAGUGGCGAAGGCGGCUACCUGGCCUAAUACUGACACUGAGGCACGAAAGCGUGGGGAGCAAACAGGAUUAGAUACCCUGGUAGUCCACGCUGUAAACGAUGUCAACUAGCUGUUGGUUAUAUGAAAAUAAUUAGUGGCGC
rnacentral:rRNA from 1 species